rnacentral:misc_RNA from 1 species
GAUAAACAACCCCAGAGAAGAAAGGCACAUUGAAGAUUAAGCAGGUGCUUGUUCAUAAUGCUGAACGGGAUUUUGAUUAUAUUUAGAGAGGUUAUACAACAACAAUCACAAAAGACUGCUUUUUACAUAUUGUAUAGCUGGUGUUUUUAUUGGUACAUCAGGUUGCUGCAUGUUCCUUAUCUCAGAAUUGCUGCUUCAUCAAACAUUAAGGACAAUACAAGGCACUCAAUAA